GAUGAACGCUGGCGGCGUGCCUAAUACAUGCAAGUCGAGCGAACAGACGAGGAGCUUGCUCCUCUGACGUUAGCGGCGGACGGGUGAGUAACACGUGGAUAACCUACCUAUAAGACUGGGAUAACUUCGGGAAACCGGAGCUAAUACCGGAUAAUAUAUUGAACCGCAUGGUUCAAUAGUGAAAGACGGUUUUGCUGUCACUUAUAGAUGGAUCCGCGCCGCAUUAGCUAGUUGGUAAGGUAACGGCUUACCAAGGCAACGAUGCGUAGCCGACCUGAGAGGGUGAUCGGCCACACUGGAACUGAGACACGGUCCAGACUCCUACGGGAGGCAGCAGUCGGGAAUCUUCCGCAAUGGGCGAAAGCCUGACGGAGCAACGCCGCGUGAGUGAUGAAGGUCUUCGGAUCGUAAAACUAUGUUAUUAGGGAAGAACAAAUGUGUAAGUAACUAUGCACGUCUUGACGGUACCUAAUCAGAAAGCCACGGCUAACUACGUG
rnacentral:rRNA from 1 species